rnacentral:rRNA from 1 species
CCUACGGGUGGCAGCAGUGGGGAAUAUUGGACAAUGGGGGCAACCCUGAUCCAGCCAUGCCGCGUGUGUGAAGAAGGCCCUCGGGUUGUAAAGCACUUUCAGUGAGGAAGAACGCCUGGUGGUUAAUACCCAUCAGGAAAGACAUCACUCACAGAAGAAGCACCGGCUAACUCCGUGCCAGCAGCCGCGGUAAUACGGAGGGUGCGAGCGUUAAUCGGAAUUACUGGGCGUAAAGCACGCGUAGGUGGCUUGAUAAGCCGGUUGUGAAAGCCCCGGGCUCAACCUGGGAACGGCAUCCGGAACUGUCAAGCUAGAGUGCAGGAGAGGAAGGUAGAAUUCCCGGUGUAGCGGUGAAAUGCGUAGAGAUCGGGAGGAAUACCAGUGGCGAAGGCGGCCUUCUGGACUGACACUGACACUGAGGUGCGAAAGCGUGGGUAGCAAACAGGAUUAGAUACCCUUGUAGUC